GUACAAAUAAAGUCGCAGACGUGUAAAAAGGUUUUGCUGAUCGUGACCGAACUCUUUCGGAAAAACUUUUCAAGACUAAGAGAGACGUAUUUGUUAACCUGUAAUCUGGGCUAACAUAAAAAGAUGACAUGAACUAUUAUACAGCACCUUCAUGCCAAGCUGUUUGGAAAGUUUACACACAAGAAGCCCUUUCUGAGAGUAGGCCAUGAAAAGCAGCACCAGAACUUUACCAAGAGAGAUUGUAACUACAACUGGAAUCAUGUGUUGCGCUCAGGUGAGACCUGAAUCAAGCUUUUUUGCCCUUGAACACCAUCAGAAUGGUUGGUGGAAAAUGUGUCCAUCAUACAAGGAUAAGCCCCCAAACCAGUGUGAAAUAUUUCAUAGGAUUGUUGAUUCUUUGGGGCAGCUGGUAGUAUAUAUACAUAUAUAUAUGUUUUUAGCCCAAACCUUGGUUGCCUCUGCCAUGUGGUUAAAACUUGUUUGAAGGUCUUCUCCAAGUGACCCCAAUAUUAGAACCUCACCUAUCCUUGUCUUAACCAUAUAUCAAUUGUUGGGUAUUAUUUUUCAUUUUUUCAUAUAGUCAGUUUUCAUAAGGGGUGCCAAUAGUUCUGGAGUUGACUCCGUCUCUCACUGUCUGAGAUAUCCCCAUCUCAGGGCAUUUCUAACUAUGCUCACCACUGUGUGAUUAUCCUUUUUUGAACCGUGAAUGUCUCAGACACCACACACACACGCGCGCGCACAUGUGGGGUAUUUUUAUCCCUGAGUGUUGGACACGUAUCCGGUCAGCUCUCCGCAGUGUUGCUGCGUGAUUUCCGUGCACUGCAUCAACAGGAAAAUGGAGUCAUGGAGUCAUGGUGAAGGAGAUAUGAGGGGAUUAAAAAAAAAAAUUGCAGGAGUGGCAUCUAUGAGCAAUGGCUCAUCAUGGAACAUGCAAGCUGUGUGCUGUGUGUUCUCGUUCUUUGUAAUGAGCUUAUGGGAUAGAUAGGAGUGGAGAGAUGAAAAGGCAAAUGAGGGUUUGCAACAACCAAGCCUGGUUUUAGACUCAGGAAGUGGUAAGACUUCUGCUCUUGACCAGAGGAACUGGAUCGUGUUGGUGGAUUCCUGGAUAUCUUUUACAGCCCAAAGAUGCAGCAUGAACUUUCAUUCAUGUUUGUUUCUAAAUCAGCAUGGUCUUUUUAUUAAUGAAUUACUGCGUAACAUGAUUAGAGAGUGUUGUAACAUUUAUGCUAUGAACCAUCUCCAUGACUUUUAAAAUAUCUAGUGCAUGUACAUCAUGAAAUACUCACAAAAUGUGUGUGGUUUAUAUAUAUAUAUAUAUAUAUAUAUAUAUAUAUAUAU
ensembl:lncRNA